rnacentral:rRNA from 1 species
GUGAGGAAUAUUGCGCAAUGGGGGAAACCCUGACGCAGCGAUGCCGCGUGGGUGAAGAAGGCUUUCGGGUCGUAAAGCCCUGUCAGGUGGGAAGAAUGGCUUCUCGUUGAAUAGGCGGGAAGCAUGACGGUACCACCGAAGGAAGCACCGGCUAACUCCGUGCCAGCAGCCGCGGUAAGACGGAGGGUGCGAGCGUUAUUCGGAAUCAUUGGGCGUAAAGAGUGUGUAGGCGGCCGGUUAAGUCAGGUGUGAAAGCCCAGGGCUCAACCCUGGAAGUGCACUUGAAACUGGUCGGCUUGAGUUCGGGAGAGGGAAGCGGAAUUCCUGGUGUAGAGGUGAAAUUCGUAGAUAUCAGGAGGAACAUCGGUGGCGAAGGCGGCUUCCUGGACCGAAACUGACGCUGAGACACGAAAGCGUGGGGAGCAAACAGGAUUAGAAACCCGUGUAGUCC